GCCCAGGUGGUGAAAUUGGUAGACACGCCAGCUUCAGGUGCUGGUGAUCGCAAGGUCGUGGAAGUUAGAGUCUUCUCCUGGGCACCA
rnacentral:tRNA from 1 species